UCAAAAUAAGCACAUUGCAAGCACAAACUGAUGAAAGUCAAAAACUAUCAAACAGAGGUUGCAAAACAAAGUCAGGAUCCAAACACAGCCCAUAUAAAGACGCUACAAAUAAAACACAGAAAACCAACUCAGAACACUUGGACAAAUAACACAAAUCCCCCUGGCUAAUGCGAAGGAACACAGGGCUUAUGCCCAGACAGCUGGCUUCCUCUCAGUCUAGCAACAUCCACUCCAUGAAUUGUCAUUAAACUGUAAUCCCCUGCAAAUCUAUGACAAUCUGGAAGAAGCAGUGGAGACAACUCACAACAUCAAUAACACAUUUGGCCAAGGAACUGCUGAUGAAUGUACAGUGCAAUGGUGGUUCAAGAAGUUUUGCAAAGGAGACAAGAGCCUUGA
rnacentral:lncRNA from 1 species